rnacentral:rRNA from 1 species
UACGGAGGGUGCAAGCGUUAAUCGGAAUUACUGGGCGUAAAGCGCACGCAGGCGGUUUGUUAAGUCAGAUGUGAAAUCCCCGGGCUUAACCUGGGAACUGCAUCUGAAACUGGCUAGCUUGAGUCUUGUAGAGGGGGGUAGAAUUCCAUGUGUAGCGGUGAAAUGCGUAGAGAUGUGGAGGAAUACCGAUGGCGAAGGCGGCCCCCUGGAAGAAGACUGACGCUCAGGUGCGAAAGCGUGGGGAGCAAACAGG